rnacentral:lncRNA from 1 species
AAACUGCUACACAACGGUGUUUUACCGCAAGAUUCUCAUACACAUGGCUUCAUCUUGAGCCAUGGGGCUUGGAAUCUAUUUAGAUCAAUACACAAGGCAGAAAGGACAAGACCCAGUUGCUGAACUGAAACAACUGAUUCCAUUGGUAGUCUCUCUAUCAGCACCAAACCUGGAAAUGCCACUCCUCAAGAAAAAGACCACCAAUCCAAGCACCUUUCUAAAAUCACUUAGUGGAGGCCUGAAUCUUGUAAGAAAACUAACUUAGAGUUUCUGCAUUUACAAAUAAAAUUUCUUUUCAAUGGAUAGGUGAGUAGAAGAGAGAGUACAUGAGAUCAUUCAAAAGACAGUCACCUAGACCAGAGACUAAGGUAGGGACCAUAUUAAAUAAUAGAUGGGUAAAUAGGUAUAUAGAUAGACAGAAAGAUACAUAGGUAUAAACAAAACCAUCUUAAUUCUUCUGAGAGUUGCUGGCAAGUGAAAAGAAUCAGUUUUGGCUCCAGAUGUAAAUAUGGGGAAAAAGAGAAAUUAUGUGUUGAAACUGACAGAUUGCUCACUUCAAAAAGAUGAAAUUUGUUAUAUUGUAACCCAAUGAGAGAGAAGUCAGUCUCUGGAGAGGUCAAUUCUAUUUGUUCUCAAGAAAUUCACUGAGAUUUGAAGGAUUAGUGUAGAAAGGAGUGUUAUUCAUGACAGGAAGCUUUUGGUAUUCUUCCUAAUACCUGAGGAACAGACCAAAUCUUCUUGCUUGUUCCUUUUUCAAUCCCAAAGCAGAUGUCGUCUCUCAGCUCUGCCCUGAUGUGCAAUUUUAUAGUUUUCCUGGGUCUCUAACUGGUGCUAUAAUAAAUUCAGAGUAAUUGUUACACACCUUUAACAGCUUCAAAACACAUUUAAGGUAUUUUCUUAUUAAUUAACUUUCUCCUCAUAUCAGCAAAAGCAGUUUGCUUUAAAAAGUUCCUUGGUAACAGUAGUCUAGUUUCUUGCCGUCACUCAGAAACUUGAGAAGAUUCUUUUGAUGUUGGUCUCUCAGUUUAGGAUGAAACUAGUGGAAAGAAGAUAGUGAAAGAGUAAGCGGAAUUGAGUGAUGGCAGCAUGAACUCAGCUGGGCCCCGUGGUCCUCAGCCCAGCCCUCGGCAGAAGCAGUGAAUUCAGCCAUAACUACAGCAGAGUCUGAUCAUUCUCCUGAUGAAAUUACACUGAUCUAAUUUGCACGCUGUGAAGACAUUUGGCACUGGCUGGAUCUGAGCCUUGACAUCUUCAUUGGAACUAAAAGUACACUAAGAACUGACAUUACGUUUCACAUUCUUUUCUGCCAGGCUGUGGCAUUUCAUCCUCUUUAAAGGCAUUAUUUCAAGAACAUUUAAUUUGGCUUUGAUAUGCCUGCCAUUUUGCUGGGUGGAACAUACUGCGCCAGAAAAGCUCAGCUGUAAUAAAGUUUGGCACCAACAGCUCACCAUAUACCUGCCUCUGAGUUGGAGUAAUUUCCUUAAUUUUAAUAUCACAAACAUUUUCUUUCCAUCAUUCUUUUCAUCAUGUGAUUCUGGAACUGAGCUUGGCAAAGCGUGAGUCUAAAGGUACUUCCAGUUUGCUUGGCUGGUUAGGCUAUGGUCCUUUGCAGUAUCAUUCAUGUCACUUAUUUACAGUGGUCCCUCUUAUCUGCAGUUUCACUUUCCGCAGUUUCAGUUACCUGCAGUCAAUGUAAGAUAUCUUUCUAUAAGACCUAAUGACUCUCAAAUCAGUCCAGGAUUCUUUCCCUAAACUCUCUUUUACUGGGCCAAUGUGGUAUCUAGUAACUACUACUACUAUUUGCAAAAGUAGGUAAGCGGCUUCCACUAACUAUGAAACAGUUAUCUAUUUCCAUAAAUGAUAGCUUGGCACCAAAUACAUUUAAAAUGUGAUGUGAUUUUUUUUCUUUUUCUUUUUCUUUUCUUUUUUUUUUUUUUUUCACUGUAAAAGAUCAAUAUUCUUUCUAGUCAAAUUCCAGAAAUAAAAAGAAGCCAAAGAAUGAGUUCAGUGAGAUCCUGGAUUUUCCCUUUCUCUACUUUUUCUGCAGAAAGUACGUUUUUGCUCUACUAGUUGUUAUUAGAAAGAAUAUCUAUUAUUCCAUAGAAUGUGAAAACCUUCUGUUUCAUUAAAAGACCACAGUUUAUAUUUUGUGAGAAGAACCUUAUCAAACUCCACAAGCACAGUUUCUUCAAAUUUUUCUCUGUGGCAUAAUAUCUACCUUCACUUGCCAAGAUUUUAACUCUAAUUUGUUUUCAUCUGUCUCCUCAAGGUAGUUUAUAAUUUAUUUAUAAGGUAUUUAUAGUUUAUUUUGUUUCUGUGUUAUGUAUGCUAGCAUUUUGUCUAGGAGCUCUUCAUUCUUCUAAAUAAACUGAAGCCAAACCAGACGUUCCUCAAGAGGUUUCUUAAAGUUUUGUUGUGUUUUCCUCUACCAUGUAGUAGUAAUAUUUUUUGCACACCUUUAGUGUAUUUGAAAGCACUCUAUAUUUUUAAGCCUACCUUCUCUCUCAAAAGACUAUAUAUUCUCCCUAGAAUACACUAUUUAUUUUCAAAUACACCCAUCCACUAUCACCACCACUGCACCUAAUACAUUCAUGACAUCAACUAGUGAUCCAACAAGUGUUUGUUGAAUUAUAAAAUGGAAAAAAAACAUUCUUUUGGUGGCCAUAAUUACAAGUGAAUUAUAAUUCUUGUAAUUAUUAUUAUACUUUAAGUUUUAGGGUACAUGUGCACAACGUGCAGGUUUGUUACAUAUGUAUACAUGAUCUUAAACAACUGUCCAUUAACAAGCCAACAACUGUCCAUUAACAAGCCCCUGAGCAUACUGCUUGGCGGACACAUUUAAAAUACAGAGAAGAGCCUGCUAAGACCUUGAUUUCAAUUACUCUGAAGUUUCUUGUGGGGUAACCUUAGAUGUCCAUGAGGAAAGGCCAUUGUAGUUAGUACAUUUUUUAUGACUAAUAAGAUUGAAGUACAUUAUCUAGUUGAGUUUUAGGUUUCAAGAGUUUAAAAAGGGUAAAGAUGUUAAACUUUACUACUAAGCAAAACCCUGGAGUACUAGAGAUUCCUCUCUGUAGAAACCUGUCUUGUCAAAAGUUUUUGAGUUGCUGUCUAAUAUCUAUACUUACUUUUAUCAGAACGAGAUGGAGUUUCACAGUUGUUGCCCAGGCUGGAGGGCAAUGCUGUGAUCUUGGCUCACCGCAACCUCCGUCUCCUGGGUUUAAGCAAUUCUCCUGCCUCAGCCUCCCGAGUAGCUGGGAUUACGGGCACACGCCACCACCCCGGCUAAUUUUUUUGUAUUUUUAGUAAAGACGGGGUUUCUCCAUGUUGGUCAGGCUAGUCUUGAACUCCUGACCUCAGGUGAUCCACCUGCCUCGGCCUCCAAAAGUGCUGGGAUUACAGGUGUGAGCCACUGCGCCUGGCCUGAUCUAGUUUCUUAUUGUACUAGAAUAAUCGUUAAUGUUCUUCACAAGUAAUACCAUUGAUGUUCAUCUUUAAAACAGUAAUAAGCUGGAAACCCUAUAAGGAUAUAAGUAACACACUUGUGAAUUAGCAAAACUUUUGUAUCUUCUCAAAUGAAAAUCACUACAAAAUCUUUAUCUUGUCUCAGCUUGAGUUUAGAACUAACAUUCCUAAAUUAUUCUGUUUAAAGUAAGAACAGAUAGGUGCUUGUGAGGUCUCAUCUCCAUGACAUCUGACAGUGGCUUUGGGUGUUGCCUAAAGAGAAAGCAGCAAGCAACAGUUACAGAGGUGACAAAGAAGCCAUUUUGCUUUUAGUUAAACACCAAAUGCCUUAAAUGAAGUCUUCAAGUUUAAUGUUAAAAGAUACCAAAUCAUAGAAUUUCAUUAGGAAGACUACAAGUUAAAUG